UCACCAGGGUUGUUCUGCCUGACGUAGACGCUAUUCCCUAAGAUUAACCCAUGCAUGUUUUUGAAGAUUAUUAUCUGAAAAAUGGACUGCUCAGUAAUACUCACUUUAUUUUAUGUACACCGCAGAUAACUACGUUAAAGUGUAGAUAACAUGUGUACAGUAAGAGUGAGACCUAUCAGCUAGUUGUUAAGGUAAUGGCUUAACAAGGCAGUGACGGGUAACGGUAUUACUUUGUAAUAUUCCGGAGAAGGAGCCUGAGAGACGGCUACUAAGUCUAAGGAUUGCAGCAGGGGCGAAACUUGACCUAUGGAUUUUAUCUGAGGCAGUUAUGGGAAGUAAUAUAUUAUUGUUUCAUAUUUUAAAAAUAUAUGAGGUGAUUAAUUGGAGGGCAAAUCAAGUGCCAGCAGCCGCGGUAAUACUUGUUCCAAGAGUGUGUAUGAUGAUUGAUGCAGUUAAAAAGUCCGUAGUUUAUUUUUAAGAAGCAAUAUGAGGUGUACUGUAUGAUCAAGAGAAACCCA
rnacentral:rRNA from 1 species